CCUGCCGCCGCUCGCCGCCUCUUUGUCUGCUCCGGGACUUGGAACAAAAGGGGGAACUCUGAUGAACUCUCUCCUCCCCUCUCCCCCGGACGCCCGGGUAUCUCCCUCUCGCAACUUUGCCGCGGCGACUUUCUCCGCUGUCAGGCCACACAAAAGUGUCGGAGCGCCUCGCAGACUGCAGCAAGGGAAAUGUCCCCUGAAAGUCCGACGAGGUGGGGAAGAGGUGCGAUCAUUGUCAUCAGCAUUUAGAAAGCAUCACGCAGGGCAUUGACGUCCAUACUGCACUGUUCUUACUGGAUCUUCCUAUCAGUGGACAUUAUUGGAAGUACCAAUGCUGCGUCAAGUCCUUCCUGGAUGGAAAGUUUUCAAACUUCUUCAUUUGGAGUUAUUUAAACAUGAGGAUGUUGGGAUUUUUGAUGACGCCUUCCCUAUGUGGAUUACUACAAUUUGGUUACUGGCAAUUCUCUACCUCAAAGAAGUACUCUCAGGUGACUACGGAAGCCUUGGCACCCUGCAUGCUCAGGUAUCCCUGCAAUGAAGUAACAUACCCAGUUAGGCUGUUUCCAUUAAAGGGAUGCAUCAAACUUAAGUGAUUUAGAAAAACAUGUCUCUUCUGGU